GCUGCGGCUAAUCACUGGCAGACAUGCUCUACACACCUGAUGAUGAACUUUCAGACACUGGUGAACUACAGCAUCUAAUCGUGUCUCCGUCUCUCUGCCAGUCCUUCUGUCAACCACCAGCCAGAACACUCACCAUUGUUUGCACUACAGUUAUCAAAUAAACUUGUUUUACCUCA